rnacentral:rRNA from 1 species
CCUACGGGAGGCAGCAGUGGGGAAUAUUGGACAAUGGGCGAAAACCUGAUCCAGCAAUGCCGCGUGAGUGAUGAAGGCCCUAGGGUUGUAAAGCUCUCCUACCCGGGAUGAUAAUGACAGUACCGGGAGAGUAAGCUCCGACUAACUCCGUGCCAGCAGCCGCGGUAAU